rnacentral:rRNA from 1 species
ACGCCGCAUGGGGGAUGGUUCGGCUAGAGCGCUGAAGAAGGUCGUGUCAAGCAGCGAUAUGCGUCGGGUAGGUGCAUGAAGCCUAUGAUCCGACGAUGACCUAAUGGGACUUCCUAUUCUUCGGAAUGGUCAGUAAUGACAGGGAACGCGGGGGAUUGAAGCAUCUUAGUACCCGCAGGAAAAGAAAUCAACAGAGAUACCGCUAGUAAAGGCGAUCGAAAACGGUACAGGGCAAACCGAAUCCCUUGGUGAAAACCCGGGGAGGUGUGGUGUUGUGGACUCUUUUACUCCUGGCGCAAUAAUAUUCGAAAUGUGCUGGAAAGCACUGCCAUAGAGGGUGAUAGCCCCUUAGAAGAAGGAUUGCAUGGAGAUUUUAGAGUAUCCGGAGUAGCGUGCGUUGGAUAUCGCGCGUGAAUCAGGGAGGCAUUCGCUUCCAACCCUAAAUACGUCUCUAGUCCGAUAGUGCAGUAGUAGUGUGAACGAAAACUGAAAAGUACCCUUAACGGGAGGUUAAAAGACCUGAAACCAUGCGGUCAAAGAUUUAUAUAGCAUCAAAGGGAAGAAGCCAUAAAUGGUGGACCAGUGUUAUAUUGUCCGUUUAGAAAAACGGGCCAGGGAGUUCUGGUCAUUGGCGAGGUUAACCACUUGAAGUGGGAAGCCACAGGGAAACCAAUUGUCCGCAGUUUUUAACGAGGGACAAGGUGUGCUCGCCUGGAGUCAAUGGCGCGGAUACCCGAAGCCGGUCGAUCUACGCCUGAGCAGAUUGAAGCCUCCUGAAAGGGAGGUGGAGGAUCGAACCAGUACUGAUGUGCAAAUCGUUUGGAUGACUUGGGUGUAGGGGUGAAAGGCCAAUCUAGGCCGGAAAUAGCUGGUUCCCCCUGAAACUAUUCGCAGAUAGACCUCGACUGAGGCAGAUCGUGAGGUAGAGCCACUGAUUGGAUGCUUAGGGGAAGAAAUUCCUCGGUGUUCUGUCAAACUCCGAAUAUGCGAUCACCGUAGACGUCGGGAGUGAGGCCAUCCGGGGUAAGCUCGAUGGCCGUGAGGGAAACAACCCAGACUAGAGUUAAGGUCCCUAAAUAUCGGUUAAGUGUAAUAUGAAAUGGCGUCGGCAGUCUAAAACAACCGGGAGGUGGGCUUAGAAGCAGCCAUCCUUCAAAGAUAGCGUAACAGCUCACCGGUCGAGAUUGUGGGCCCAAAAAAUGGACGGGGCUAAAACCGGUUACCGAUACUCUAGAACACAGCAAUGUGAUUUCGUAAGGGGGCGUGGUGCAUGGGCAGAAGUGGGGCCGUGAGGUCCUGUGGACCGUGUACCAAUGAGGAUCCUGGUGAGAGUAGCAGCAAAGUACGGUGAGAAUCCGUAUCGCCGCAGGGGCAAGGGUUCCUUGGCAAUGUUCGUCAGCCAAGGGUUAGUCGAUCCUAAGGCAAUUCUUAAUUGAAAUUGUCGAAAGGGAAACUGGUUAAUAUUCCAGUACUGUAAAUUCCUUUGUCCGUAUCCCGACAGAUAGGGAUAGUUGGAGUACAACAGCCAUUGUAUUGAAGCAUCGAAGUCUCCGGAGAACCGUCAUGGUGAGAAAGAGAUGAACUUGUGAUCAGGCGAGCGUAGGCUCGCUUCCGAUGAUUCCCCGUUUCCGUGAAAAAGGAUACGGAGUCAGCUUUUACAAUCGUACCAAGAACCGACACAGGUGUCCCUAGGUGAGUAGCCUAAGGCGUGUUAGCAUAAUCUAGGCGAGGGAACUCGGCAAAUUAGCCCUGUAACUUCGGGAGAAGGGGUGCCAGUUGCGUGAGUAACUGGUCGCAGUGACAAGAGAACUCCGACUGUUUAAUCAAAACAUAGAUCGCUGCUAGUUCGAAAGGAUGUGUAUAGCGGUUGAAGCCUGCCCAGUGUCGGUAUCUUAAAUCCUGUUUCAACGGGACGAAGGACCGAUAAACGGCGGGGGUAACUAUGACCCUCUUAAGGUAGCGUAGUACCUUGUCGCUUAAUUGGCGACUUGCAUGAAGGCCCAACGAGAGUUCUACUGUCCCCGCCUAGACGCUAGUGAAAUCAAUCUGUCUGGUGCACAAUCCAGACCCCUCCAUCUGAAAGCGAAGACCCCAUGGAGUUUCACUGCAACCUGUUGUUGCGGUAAGAAUUGACAUGUGUAGGGUAGGCGGGAGUCGUUACCCAGGAAGGAGCGCCAGCUUCUCUCCGAGACUACGAUGAAACACCGCUCUUGUCGAUUUUUACCACUAACCUCUAAGGAGGAACAGCUAUAGGUAGGCAGUUCGGGUGGGGCGCCA